GUGUCAGCAGCCGCGGUAAUACCGGCGGCUCGAGUGGUGGCCGAUAUUAUUGAGUCUAAAGGGUCCGUAGCCGGCUUUGCAAGUCUCUCGGGAAAUCCAGCGGCUUAACCGUUGGUCGUCCGGGGGGUACUACAUUGCUUGGGACUGGGAGAGGUAGGAGGUACUCAGGGGGUAGGAGUGAAAUCCUGUAAUCCUUUGGGGACCACCGGUGGCGAAGGCGUCCUACCAGAACAGGUCCGACGGUGAGGGACGAAAGCUAGGGGCACGAACCGGAUUAGAUACCCCGGUAGUCC
rnacentral:rRNA from 1 species